UACGGAGGGAGCUAGCGUUGUUCGGAAUUACUGGGCGUAAAGCGCACGUAGGCGGCUUUGUAAGUCAGAGGUGAAAGCCUGGAGCUUAACUCCAGAACUGCCUUUGAGACUGCAUCGCUUGAAUCCAGGAGAGGUGAGUGGAAUUCCGAGUGUAGAGGUGAAAUUCGUAGAUAUUCGGAGGAACACCAGUGGCGAAGGCGGCUCACUGGACUGGUAUUGACGCUGAGGUGCGAGAGCGUGGGGAGCAAACAGG
rnacentral:rRNA from 1 species